rnacentral:rRNA from 1 species
UACGUAGGGUGCGAGCGUUGUUCGGAAUUACUGGGCGUAAAGGGCGCGUAGGCGGCCGUUUAAGUUAGGUGUGAAAGUCCUGGGCUUAACCUGGGGACUGCACUUGAUACUGGAUGGCUUGAAUUCGGGAGAGGAUAGCGGAAUUCCCAGUGUAGAGGUGAAAUUCGUAGAUAUUGGGAAGAACACCGGUGGCGAAGGCGGCUAUCUGGACCGACAUUGACGCUGAGGCGCGAAAGCGUGGGGAGCAAAC